ACGCUCGACACCUACUGGAGGCAGCAGUCGGGAAUAUUGCGCAAUGGAGGAAACUCUGACGCAGUGACGCCGCGUAUAGGAAGAAGGUUUUCGGAUUGUAAACUAUUGUCGUUAGGGAAGAUACAAGACAGUACCUAAGGAGGAAGCACCGGCUAACUAUGUGCCAGUAGCCGCGGUAAUCUGAGCGGGCUGGCAAGGC
rnacentral:rRNA from 1 species